CCUGAUGCAGCAACGCCGCGUGAGGGAUGACGGCCUAUCGGGUUGUAAACCUCUUUUAGCAAGGAAGAAGCGAAAGUGACGGUACUUGCAGAAAAAGCGCCGGCUAACUACGUGCCAGCAGCCGCGGUAAUACGUAGGGCGCAAGCGUUAUCCGGAAUUAUUGGGCGUAAAGAGCUCGUAGGCGGUUUGUCGCGUCUGCUGUGAAAUCCCGAGGCUCAACCUCGGGCCUGCAGUGGGUACGGGCAGACUAGAGUGCGGUAGGGGAGAUUGGAAUUCCUGGUGUAGCGGUGGAAUGCGCAGAUAUCAGGAGGAACACCGAUGGCGAAGGCAGAUCUCUGGGCCGUAACUGACGCUGAGGAGCGAAAGGGUGGGGAGCAAACAGGCUUAGAUACCCUGGUAGUCCACCCCGUAAACGUUGGGAACUAGUUGUGGGGUCCUUUCCACGGAUUCCGUGACGCAGCUAACGCAUUAAGUUCCCCGCCUGGGGAGUACGGCCGCAAGGCUAAAACUCAAAGGAAUUGACGGGGACCCGCACAAGCGGCGGAGCAUGCGGAUUAAUUCGAUGCAACGCGAAGAACCUUACCAAGGCUUGACAUACACGAGAACACUCUAGAAAUAGGGGACUCUUUGG
rnacentral:rRNA from 1 species